rnacentral:rRNA from 1 species
CCUACGGGUGGCAGCAGUGGGGAAUCUUCCGCAAUGGGCGAAAGCCUGACGGAGCAACGCCGCGUGAUCGAAUGAAGGCCUUCGGGUUGUAAAGAUCUGUUGACAGGGACGAAUAAGCAAUGCGAAUAGUUUUGUGUAUGACGGUACCUGUUUAGAAAGCCCCGGCUAACUACGUGCCAGCAGCCGCGGUAAUACGUAGGGGGCAAGCGUUAUCCGGAUUUACUGGGUGUAAAGGGAGCGUAGACGGCAGCGCAAGUCUGGAGUGAAAUGCCGGGGCCCAACCCCGGAACUGCUUUGGAAACUGUGCAGCUGGAGUGCAGGAGAGGUAAGCGGAAUUCCUAGUGUAGCGGUGAAAUGCGUAGAUAUUAGGAGGAACACCAGUGGCGAAGGCGGCUUACUGGACUGUAACCGACGUUGAGGCUCGAAAGCGUGGGGAGCAAACAGGAUUAGAUACCCGGGUAGUC